AUUCCAGCUCCAAUAGCGUAUACUAAAGUUGUUGCAGUUAAAAAGCUCGUAGUUGAAUUUCUGGUCGUGAAAAGUGGUCCGUUCCGCAAGGAAUGUGUACUGUCUAUUCAUGUCCAUCCUCGGAGUUAGUGUGUAUUACUUUAAUCGGUCGUGCAUGCAAUACUUCGUCAUUUACUGUGAGCAAAAUAGAGUGUUCAAAGCAGGCUUAUGCCGUUGAAUAUAUUAGCAUGGAAUAAUAAGAUAUGACCUGAGUUCUAUUUUGUUGGUUUCUAGAGCUGAGGUAAUGAUUAAUAGGGAUAGUUGGGGGCAUUCGUAUUUAACAGUCAGAGGUGAAAUUCUUGGAUUUGUUAAAGACGGACUACUGCGAAAGCAUUUGCCAAGGAUGUUUUCAUCG
rnacentral:rRNA from 1 species